rnacentral:rRNA from 1 species
CGACGUGAGUAACCUGCCUUGGAGUGGGGAAUAACAGCUGGAAACAGCUGCUAAUACCGCAUAAAAUAUCUGUGUCGCAUGGCACUGGAUAUCAAAGAUUUAUCGCUCUGAGAUGGACUCGCGUCUGAUUAGCUAGUUGGCGGGGUAACGGCCCACCAAGGCGACGAUCAGUAGCCGGACUGAGAGGUUGGCCGGCCACAUUGGGACUGAGACACGGCCCAGACUCCUACGGAAGGCAGCAG